rnacentral:ncRNA from 1 species
AAAACUAGAGUUGUGUUCAACAACCUAUUUCAUAAAUUUGCUUUCCGAGUAGCCCCUUUCAAGGGGCUUUUUUUAUUUA